AAACCCUGCCCAUAGCUACUGCCUUUAAUCCUCAAACAAUCAUGAUUGGGCCGGUCAUUUUUCAGACCAGGCAAAAACAUGUAAGCUUGAAGCUCUGCAAGAUGGAUCAUGCCUCAAGCCUCUUAAGAAUUGAUUAUAACUAACAAUACAGUCAUUGUAUUUGCAUUCAUGUUGCCUUUUGAAGGGGUCUGUUCUGACUAAAGCACUCUGAUGUUUUAUUUGGAUGUUAAAGUGAGCUUUGGUAGCAGAAGGAGAAAUUAUUUCUCUCCCUUUUUGCACACUGGAAGAGGACAGGACCACAUUGUCCAUACUGAUACAGAAUCAGUGCCUCUCACACAUACAGUAAGUGUGUUGUAGCAUUAGUAAAGGGGAGCACAUUUUCUAAACUCAGAUACUUGAACCUGUAAAAACCCACCCUGUAAAAAUCUAGUCUGCACCAUCAUUUAAAGGCUGAGCUGAGCAGAAAACUCUUAAACCAACCAUUCACUCUGAAGUGUCAGGAAAUAUGCUGAUCUGAUCUAUCUGGUCAGAUGUCAGACAAAAGCAGACAUCGACCGGCAGCUUUGAAAUCAAUCAAGAAUAAAAAUCCCUCUUCUGCAAACUGACCCUGAUCCUGAGAUGUUUUGUCCCGCAGCCACCGGGGUUCCUGACACCAGCUGUGGUUCUGUGGCUGUGACUGUCAAUGUUGUGACUUUUCAAACAUCCUUUUCUGCAUUUUUCCAACUGUGUUUGGGAGUAUUGAUUUGUCUUCAGCUCCAGUUCCAUUCAAAGCGAGUAAUUCUUUUAUUUUUUUGUUGCGUUCAUCUUUAGUUUUAAGGAUGUCAGUCUCUUAUGAAAAUAUUAUUGUGAAAAUGGUUGUGUGAUUACACUUGAGGACACAUCUAUAAGCCUUUUCCAUAACAUAGUCUGUUUAAAAGAUAAGUAAAACAUCUAAACAGAUUCAUGUGCCAAUUAAAAAAUUGACAGUAAAGAGGUGAACAGUUCUAACAGAGUAGAAAGAUGGCCUCAAGAUAUAAGUAAAGAUAUAAGAAACACAAAAAAGUUGUUAAAAGUGGCAAAAAUGGGGGGAAAGUUGGGGAAGCAGUGAUAAUAGGGGUUAAAAAGUAGCACAGACAAGUUAGAUCAUCAGAACUCAAUAAUGGCUUGACAUAUUUUUCAGUGCCAAAAUAAGGUAAUUGUCAGCCAGAAUGCUAGCACCAGUGCUACUGAUCGAACACCCAUGCAUUGAUAUCAAUAAUUCGCAACAGGGGAGGGCCCAUUCUCUGGGUUUUUUAGGGGCCCAACCAAUUCUGUGGGCGGACCUGCCAUCUAUACUUUGCAAAUCUGGUUGAGAAUGCUUAAGAAUCUGUGCAGAAUCAGAAUAGAGUUUAUUUGCCAAGAACAUUUUCACAUACAAGAAAUUUUUUUACUUAGUGUUUUGGUGCAAAACGCUGGGUGAGGGCUGGUGUACUGUUCAUUAGGCUGACAGCAGAGGGGAAGAAACUAUUCUUGUGGCAGGAGGUUUUGUUUCAGAGGGACCUCAGCCCCGCUAGAGUGGUGGGCCUCAAAAAGUCCAUGUCCAGAGGGAGAGGUGUCAGCUGCAAUUUUACCUGUGUGCCUCAGCAUCCUGGAGGCGUGUACAGGUCAUGGAGAGUGAAGAUUGCAGCAGAUCACUCUCUCUGCAGAGCGAAUGAUACGCUGUAGUCUGUUUCUGUCCCUUGCCAUGGCUGCAGAGAACCAGACAGUGAUGCAUGAAGUGAGGAAGUGAAGUGAGACUGGAUGAUGGCUAUGUAGAAGUGCACCAUCAUCAUCUUUGGCAGGUUGAGUUUCUUCAGCUGCCAGAAAUUGUGUCUAAUAGCAAUGUCCAUGACCUCACUUUUAGAGAACUCUGUCCUGUGGUUUAUCACUGCAAAAUUUGAUUACUUUUCUUGAUAGUAUCUGUAAUAAACUUUGUUUAACUAUAUUGACGCGCUUCACAGUUUCCUUUAAUCAAGGGAAAUAUCACCUGGAAGACAUGAUAACAGUGUAGAGGAAUCCUGUCCUGACAUUUGCAGCAACUGUGAAUUUUACCCUUGACACUUCAUAUUAGUAUUUACUCUUGCCUUUUAUUCAUUUUGAUCAGCCGGUACAUCUUUUUUUUUUUUUUUUUUUAAACAUCUAAAAGUGAAUGAAUUUUUGUUCCUUUAAACAUCACCACUACUACUGUUGCAUGUAACUACAUGGUUGUAAAAUGUUCUUUUGCCUGUCUUUUUAUUGACUGCACGUUUCCAAAAGAGAUCGUCUGAUCCAAACCUGCAUCUUCACUGAACUUCUCCUGAGAGAAUCUUCAGGUCAGCAAUGGAGCAGAAGUGUCCCAGCACCACAUCUCCUCAGAAGCACAUGAAGAACAGAUCCAAGUCCACAGAGGAGAUGCAGCAAACAAAAAAGACUUUUUCUUCACAAAAAUCUCUCCCGGGAGGACCAGAGCUGGACAAAGUGAAGGAGUGUCCUGAUGGCUCUGACAUGCCCUCCCCCUCUAAAGAAGAACUGAAGUGACAAAUGACUAAUGAGAUCAUCAAUUUUGUUCAUCAUCAGAGACAUCCCCAAGCAUAGAAAUAUACAUGCACACAAUAUAGCAGCCCUUAAAGGACAUGCACCCAAACAUUGAAUUUUACUCUGUUUUGUCCCUGAUGGAGGGGUUUCAGUUGUUUUCUCAAGAUCCUGAGAAAUGAACUCCUAAAGGGAAGCAUUAUGCAGCAUUUUUAUCUUAAGACAACAACAUAAAUAAGUUCUGAUCUUGAGAAAACAAAUGGAAAUGACUUGUAAUUGUGGGAAAACAGUGUACAUUAAAUGUAUGAAGCUAUGCCUUUGUAGGGCUUCUGUUAAAGGAAACAUACAAACAAUAACAAUGAUAAUAAACUAGAUCGUAAAAACAGAGAACUGGAUUUAGGAUGAAGGGAACUGUGAGCAUGCUCACAUUUGUUGUACUGGGAGUACUGUAUACAUAUCAAACUAAAUGUGUAUUGACAAUAAAGUGAAUCUGUCUUAACCAUGCUCUC